AACGAACGCUGGCGGCAUGCCUAACACAUGCAAGUCGAACGAGACCUUCGGGUCUAGUGGCGCACGGGUGCGUAACGCGUGGGAACCUGCCCUUAGGUUCGGAAUAACUCCCCGAAAGGGGUGCUAAUACCGGAUAAUGUCUUCGGACCAAAGAUUUAUCGCCUUUGGAUGGGCCCGCGUUGGAUUAGCUAGUUGGCAGGGUAAAAGCCUACCAAGGCGACGAUCCAUAGCUGGUCUGAGAGGAUGAUCAGCCACACUGGGACUGAGACACGGCCCAGACUCCUACGGGAGGCAGCAGUGGGGAAUAUUGGACAAUGGGCGGAAGCCUGAUCCAGCAAUGCCGCGUGAGUGAUGAAGGCCUUAGGGUUGUAAAGCUCUUUUACCCGGGAUGAUAAUGACAGUACCGGGAGAAUAAGCUCCGGCUAACUCCGUG
rnacentral:rRNA from 1 species